rnacentral:rRNA from 1 species
UACGUUCCCGGACCUUGCACACACCGCCCGUCAAGCCAUGGAAGCUGGGUGUACCUAAAGUCGGUAACCGCAAGGAGCUGCCUAGGGUAAAACUAGUAACUGGGGCU